rnacentral:rRNA from 1 species
GACGAACGCUGGCGGCGUGCCUAAUACAUGCAAGUAGAACGCUGAAGAGAGGAGCUUACUCUUCUUGGAUGAGUUGCGAACGGGUGAGUAACGCGUAGGUAACCUGCCUUGUAGCGGGGGAUAACUAUUGGAAACGAUAGCUAAUACCGCAUAACAAUGGAUGACACAUGUCAUUUAUUUGAAAGGGGCAAUUGCUCCACUACAAGAUGGACCUGCGUUGUAUUAGCUAGUAGGUGAGGUAAUGGCUCACCUAGGCGACGAUACAUAGCCGACCUGAGAGGGUGAUCGGCCACACUGGGACUGAGACACGGCCCAGACUCCUACGGGAGGCAGCAGUAGGGAAUCUUCGGCAAUGGGGGCAACCCUGACCGAGCAACGCCGCGUGAGUGAAGAAGGUUUUCGGAUCGUAAAGCUCUGUUGUAAGUCAAGAGCGGGUGUGAGAGUGGAAAGUUCACACUGUGACGGUAGCUUACCAGAAAGGGACGGCUAACUACGUG